CUCCCAUCCUGCCUGCCUGGGCAGGGGCAGCAGCUCCUCUCUCAGGGCGAGGGCUCCCCUCGGCAGGAGAUCCACAACCUCCACCUCCUCCAAACAUUUGCAGCUCUUGGGAGCAGCGGCAGCAGAAAAGAAAUCUCUUUUAAAAAACAAAUUGAAGCCAAGGAGGGGAAGGAGGGAAUGGAGGGCAGCAGGGGGGACACACAUGUGGAAAUUUAAUGUGAGAGCUGCUCCUCAGAAUGAAGAUGUUGGGUUUGGCAUGAAGAUUGCAAUCAGCUGGUUGCUUUGACACUGCUCGAGCCUUUCAGUGACUAAGACAAGCCUGAAGGAUUAGGAUGUCAAGCCUGUCCUGUCAUCUUCAGGGAGCGGGGGAAUGGAAGGAGUUGCCUUUUUUGGUUACGUCUUCACAAGGCCCAGAGGACAGAAACCUUGCUGGUUAAUUAAGGCCAACCUCAGCCUGUCACUGAUCAACAAAGUCCUGCUUUUUGAGACAAGCUGUGCGGCGGGGCUCCACGGAUAAUCGCCCUGCGCGGGGAGGAAUUUCUCUCCGGAGCCCUUCCCCUGCAGCCCCCGUGCCGGCCCAACGGAUGGCUGCACGCUUUGGGAAAGUCAGGGGCCUCCUCCCAGGCAGCUGUCAGGCAAAGCAAAAGGACCUGGAAUAAGCUGACUUCAGCAAACCAUAUUUAGCAGGUUAAAGGCAAUUUAUGGAAAAAAAUCCAGUCUCCCCCCUAGUGGUGGCAAGGAAAAUCCAGCAGGAGCUGCCUGAUCGAUCCCUAAAAACUGCUUUACUGUUGCCCUUGGGUCCACUUCGCCAUGCAGCUGGAAAUAAAUACAGGGAUAUUGUAAUGAGUUUUGCUGUGCAACUGGAGGACCCCGGAGCUCAGCUGCUCGGGAUUUCCAUUGUUCUUUCUGAGAAGCCGUGUUUCCAAAUGGAGCCACAUGGAUGCUGACACUGCAGUCUUUGAAGGCAUUGAGGCUUUUCUUUCUCCAGGGUGUUUUUAUACUCCUGCUACAUCUGGGGAAACUGAGGCACUGAGUAGUGUCCUGGUCAGUGAGAACAUCUGCAGCAGGACAAGCUUCUCAUCCCCUGUCUCAGCCUCUGUUCCAUUAAGGUAGGUGUGAGGCUGCCCCACUUGUUUCUUCCUGGCUGAGGAGCAGAUACUGUAUUUCCACACUUUUUUGCCUUACUACUUUCCUACAGUGGCAUCCAGCUGAGAAAUCCUCCUCUCUGCAAAGUUCCCUCAGCCAUUUUCACCACAGCUGUGGCUCAGCACAAAGCCCCCCACUACUGCAAAGAAAUGCACCUCACUGCCCAGGUGCCACAAACACCAGCACCCACCCUCAGCCUAUAAAAAAGGCAGUCUCAAGAAGUCUUUAUGCCUCAGCUUAAAAGGAUAACUCUUAAUUCAUGUCAUUGGGAAUAAAUGUCCCUUUCCCCCCCAUCAUCAUAACCUUGCAAAGCCCUGCUGGAACAGUCAGCCUGGGUAGGAGAAAUCAGCAUCAAAGGACAGAGAUUGUGGGACCUCCUGCUGAUGUGUGAGGGGAAAGAACCCAGAUUGCAGGGACUACUUCAUCCUGCAAGAGGAUGGUGGCAGGUAGAGCAGAUGAGUGGAUAUUCCAACCUGCUCAGCCUGGCAUCUUUUCCUUGAGCUCUGUCCUUUUCCCAACUGUUUCACUUCAUCGUCUCUAAAUGUCCGGUUGUGGUUCUUUCUGUGUUAACAUUUGCCAAUCAUUUCUAGCCAAGAAAAAAUAGAUAUUAAAAUGAUUCAUGUUAAAUAGCUUCUGGGCAGCCUUUUGCAACAGUGAGGGACUUGGGGUCUUUUUACUAUAAUUACUUUGAAAUGUGACUUCCUUUUCCUGGAAAGGAGGGCUGGUCCAGUGAAUGAAAUACCCAGCUGGAGGCUGUAAAAGUUUUUGUUCAGUGACUGUUUCAACCACAAACUAUUCCAUAUAAAAUCAAGAAAUUUAUUUCAAUUCCCUUGUGCCUCAGUUUCCCCAGCCCUAAUUGUUCAUGAUUGCCUUUUUUAAUAAAUAGUUUUGAUGAAACAACAUUCCUCAGUGGAAGUUGCUCAUU